GCUUUAUAUUAAAAUUAAUUUUAAUCGAGUUUUUGGUUAUAAAUUUUUAAAUUAAUUGUUGUAUUUUAUUGGGGCGAUAAAGGUAUAAUUUAUGUCAACUGUUAAAAGGAUAAGGUAUAAAUUUAUAAUGAUUAAAUGAUCCUUUAGUAAAGAUUAAAAGUUUAAGUU
rnacentral:rRNA from 1 species